rnacentral:rRNA from 1 species
UACGUAGGGGGCGAGCGUUGUCCGAAGUUACUGGGCGUAAAGCGCACGUAGGCGGCUUUCUAAGUCGGGGGUGAAAUCCUGGAGCUCAACUCCAGAACUGCCUUCGAUACUGGAGAGCUCGAGUCCGGGAGAGGUGAGUGGAACUGCGAGUGUAGAGGUGAAAUUCGUAGAUAUUCGCAAGAACACCAGUGGCGAAGGCGGCUCACUGGCCCGGUACUGACGCUGAGGUGCGAAAGCGUGGGGAGCAAACAGG